UACAGAGGGUGCAAGCGUUGUUCGGAAUUACUGGGCGUAAAGGGCUCGUAGGCGGCCAACUAAGUCAGACGUGAAAUCCCUCGGCUUAACCGGGGAACUGCGUCUGAUACUGGAUGGCUUGAAUCCGGGAGAGGGAUGCGGAAUUCCAGGUGUAGCGGUGAAAUGCGUAGAUAUCUGGAGGAACACCGGUGGCGAAGGCGGCAUCCUGGACCGGCAUUGACGCUGAGGAGCGAAAGCCAGGGGAGCAAACGGG
rnacentral:rRNA from 1 species